CACGUAGGGGGGCGAGCGUUUGUCCGGAUUUAUUGGGCGUAAAGAGCUCGUAGGCGGCUCAGUAAGUCAGGUGUGAAAACUCCAGGCUCAACCUGGAGACGCCACCUGAUACUGCUGUGGCUAGAGUCCGGUAGGGGAGCAUGGAAUUCCUGGUGUAGCGGUGAAAUGCGCAGAUAUCAGGAGGAACACCAGUGGCGAAGGCGGUGCUCUGGGCCGGAACUGACGCUGAGGAGCGAAAGCGUGGGGAGCAAACAGG
rnacentral:rRNA from 1 species